GACGAACGCUGGCGGCGUGCCUAAUACAUGCAAGUAGAACGCACAGUUUAUACCGUAGCUUGCUACACCAUAGACUGUGAGUUGCUAACGGGUGAGUAACGCGUAGGUAACCUGCCUGGUAGCGGGGGAUAACUAUUGGAAACGAUAGCUAAUACCGCAUAAUAUUAAUUAUUGCAUGAUAAUUGAUUGAAAGGUGCAAAUGCAUCACUACCAGAUGGACCUGCGUUGUAUUAGCUAGUAGGGUGAGGUAACGGCUCACCUAGGCGACGAUACAUAGCCGACCUGAGGAGGGGUGAUCGGGCCACACUGGGGACUGAGACACGGCCCAGACCUCCCUACGGGGAGGGCAGCAGUAAGGGAAAUCUUUCGGGCAAUGGGACGAAAAGUCUGAACCGAGCAACGCCGCGUGAAUGGAAGAAAGGUUUUUCGGGAUCGUAAGCUCUGUUGUAAAAAAAAACGGGUGUGAAAUGGAAAGUUCCACUGUGACGGUUCUAACCGAAAGGGACGGUAAUUCCGUGCCGCAUCGCGGUAUACCUAGUUCCGACGUUGGUCCGGAAUUAAUGGGGCGUAAGCCGAGCGCGGCCGUUAUAAGGUCUGAGUUGAAGGCGUGUGCCUAACAUUGUGUGCUUUGAGACUGUAUAACUAGAAGCGAAGGGAAUUGCACUCCGCUGAGCGUUAGUGAUAUACAAGAAGAGACCCUGCUGUUGCACUUUUCUCUGGGUGCGGAGACGCCAGGUCACGUU
rnacentral:rRNA from 1 species